AUACGGAGGUUCCGAGCGUUAUCCGGAUUUACUGGGUGUAAAGGGAGCGUAGACGGUUUGGCAAGUCUGAUGUGAAAGCCCGGGGCUCAACCGCGGGACUGCAUUGGAAACUGUCAGACUUGAGUGCAGGAGAGGAAAGUGGAAUUCCUAGUGUAGCGGUGAAAUGCGUAGAUAUUAGGAGGAACACCGGUGGCGAAGGCGGCUUACUGGACUGUAACUGACGUUGAGGCUCGAAAGCGUGGGGAGCAAACAGGAUUAGAUGCCCUGGUAGUCCACGCCGUAAACGAUGAAUACUAGGUGUUGGAAAAAUCCAGUGCUGAAGUUAACGCAUUAAGUAUUCCGCCUGAGUAGUACGUACGCAAGUAUGAAACUCAAAGGAAUUGGCGGGG
rnacentral:rRNA from 1 species